GUAGGGGGCGAGCGUUAUCCGGAUUUACUGGGCGUAAAGAGCGUGUAGGCGGCUUCCAAAGUUGGCAGUGAAAGGUCCUGGCUUAACUGGGAUAUGCCUGCCAAUACUGGGGAGCUAGAGGGCAGCAGAGGAAAGUGGAACUCGCGGUGUAGCGGUGAAAUGUGUAGAUAUCGCGAGGAACACCAGUGGCGAAGGCGGCUUUCUGGGCUGUUCCUGACGCUGAGACGCGAAAGCGUGGGGAGUGAAGCGGAUUAGAUACCCGCGUAAUCCACGCCUUAAACGGUGGAUACUAGGUAUGGGGGGUAUCGACCCUCUCCGUGCCGAAGCUAACGCCUUAAGUAUCCCGCCUGGGGACUACGGCCGCAAGGCUA
rnacentral:rRNA from 1 species